GUCUUUGCGCAGUGGCAUUAUCAUAGCUUAUGAGGUUAAACCGAGGCAUGAUUAUUGCUAGUUGAAAACUUGACCCAAUAUCCUGCCUUGAUGACUUGAAAUAUAGCCAUCUGUGGCAAUUUUUGACAGUCUCUAUGGAGG